rnacentral:rRNA from 1 species
AGCAGCCGCGGUAAUUCCAGCUCCAAUAGCGUAUAUUAAAGUUGUUGCAGUUAAAAAGCUCGUAGUUGAAUUUCGGGGUUCAUCCGUUGGUCGGGCUUUUUUGGUCUGUACUGGCGUGAUGGAUUCCUACCUUCUGAAUAACCAGCAUGUCAUUAAUUUGGUGCGCUGGGGAAGCAGGACUGUUACCUUGAAAAAAUUAGAGUGCUUAAAGCAGGCUAUCGCCUGAAUACAUUAGCAUGGAAUAAUGAAAUAGGACGGCAUGGUUCUAUUUUGUUGGUUUCUAGGAUCACCGUAAUGAUUAAUAGGGAUAGUUGGGGGCAUUAGUAUUCAAUUGUCAGAGGUGAAAUUCUUGGAUUUAUUGAAGACUAACUACUGCGAAAGCAUUUGCCAAGGAUGUUUUCAUUAAUCAAGAACGAAAGUUAGGGGAUCGAAGACGAUCAGAUACCGUCGUAGUCUUAACCAUAAACUAUGCCGACUAGGGAUCGGAUGAUGUUAAUUUUUUAAUGACUCAUUCGGCGCC